rnacentral:rRNA from 1 species
GACGAACGCUGGCGGCGCGCCUAACACAUGCAAGUCGAACGAGCGAGAGAGAGCUUGCUUUCUCGAGCGAGUGGCGAACGGGUGAGUAACGCGUGAGGAACCUGCCUCAAAGAGGGGGACAACAGUUGGAAACGACUGCUAAUACUCUAUACUCCUGCUUAACACAAGUUGAGUAGGGAAAGUUUUUCGGUGUAGGAUGAGACUAUAUAGUAUCAGCUAGUUGGUAAGGUAAUGGCUUACCAAGGCUAUGACGCUUAACUGGUCUGAGAGGAUGAUCAGUCACACUGGAACUGAGACACGGUCCAG